rnacentral:pre_miRNA from 1 species
AGCCUUCUGUAUCCGUGCUGAGAUUUCGUCACACACUACGAGGGCUGAUGAGACUUCCAAGAGAAGUGAAGCG